rnacentral:rRNA from 1 species
UCCUACGGGAGGCAGCAGUGGGAAAAAUUGCACAAUGGGCGGGAGCCUGAUGCAGCAACGCCGUGUGAGCGAUGAAGGCCUUCGGGUCGUAAAGCUCUGUCUUCAAGAAAGAUAAUGACGGUACUUGAGGAGGAAGCCCCGGCUAACUACGUGCCAGCAGCCGCGGUAAUACGUAGGGGGCUAGCGUUAUCCGGAAUUACUGGGCGUAAAGGGUGCGUAGGUGGUUUCUUAAGUCAGAGGUGAAAGGCUACGGCUCAACCGUAGUAAGCCUU